GCCAGGUGUGGUGGCUCAUGCCUGUAAUCCCAGCACUUUAGGAGGCUGAGGUGGGUGGAUCACCUGAGGUCAGGAGUUCGAGACCAGCCUGGCCAACAUGGUGAAACCCCAUCUCUA
rnacentral:SRP_RNA from 1 species